ACACCUCAACUCUUCAUGGUUUUCCAUGAAGGGCUUGGACUUUGGGGGUCUUGCUGGCCUGUAGUCAGCUCCUCUCAAAUGAAUCAGCUUUCCAGUGUUUGGCAGCGUCACAGGUGUGAUAACUAUCUACGCUUGUGGUUUUCUGCCAGGUAAUCCUCAGUGAUGGGGGUUCGCUGGGGCUUACAAAUGUCUCUCCUCAGCGAAGACAGCUUUGUGAAC
rnacentral:misc_RNA from 1 species